rnacentral:rRNA from 1 species
CGGACGGGUGAGUAAUGUCUGGGAAACUGCCUGAUGGAGGGGGAUAACUACUGGAAACGGUAGCUAAUACCGCAUAACGUCGCAAGACCAAAGAGGGGGACCUUCGGGCCUCUUGCCAUCGGAUGUGCCCAGAUGGGAUUAGCUAGUAGGUGGGGUAACGGCUCACCUAGGCGACGAUCCCUAGCUGGUCUAAGAGGAUGACCAGCCACACUGGAACUGAGACACGGUCCAG